rnacentral:rRNA from 1 species
GAUGAACGCUGGCGGCGUGCCUAAUACAUGCAAGUCGAGCGAACAGACGAGGAGCUUGCUCCUCUGACGUUAGCGGCGGACGGGUGAGUAACACGUGGAUAACCUACCUAUAAGACUGGGAUAACUUCGGGAAACCGGAGCUAAUACCGGAUAACAUGUUGAACCGCAUGGUUCAACAGUGAAAGACGGUCUUGCUGUCACUUAUAGAUGGAUCCGCGCCGCAUUAGCUAGUUGGUAAGGUAACGGCUUACCAAGGCAACGAUGCGUAGCCGACCUGAGAGGGUGAUCGGCCACACUGGAACUGAGACACGGUCCAGACUCCUACGGGAGGCAGCAGUAGGGAAUCUUCCGCAAUGGGCGAAAGCCUGACGGAGCAACGCCGCGUGAGUGAUGAAGGUCUUCGGAUCGUAAAACGCUGUUAUUAGGGAAGAACAAAUGUGUAAGUAACUAUGCACGUCUUGACGGUACCUAAUCAGAAAGCCACGGCUAACUACGU